CCUACGGGUGGCUGCAGUAGGGAAUCUUCCACAAUGGACGAAAGUCUGAUGGAGCAACGCCGCGUGAGUGAAGAAGGGUUUCGGCUCGUAAAGCUCUGUUGGUAGUGAAGAAAGAUAGAGGUAGUAACUGGCCUUUAUUUGACGGUAAUUACUUAGAAAGUCACGGCUAACUACGUGCCAGCAGCCGCGGUAAUACGUAGGUGGCAAGCGUUGUCCGGAUUUAUUGGGCGUAAAGGGAGUGCAGGCGGUUCGAUAAGUCUGAUGUGAAAGCCGUCGGCUCAACCGGAUAAUUGCAUCAGAAACUGUUGAACUAGAGUACAGGAGAGGAAAGCGGAAUUCCUAGUGUAGCGGUGAAAUGCGUAGAUAUUAGGAAGAACACCAGUGGCGAAGGCGGCUUUCUGGACUGAAACUGACGCUGAGGCACGAAAGCGUGGGGAGCGAACAGGAUUAGAUACCCCUGUAGUC
rnacentral:rRNA from 1 species